rnacentral:rRNA from 1 species
UGGGGAAUAUUGGACAAUGGGCGCAAGCCUGAUCCAGCCAUGCCGCGUGAGUGAUGAAGGCCUUAGGGUUGUAAAGCUCUUUCGGCGGGGACGAUAAUGACGGUACCCGCAGAAGAAGCCCCGGCUAACUUCGUGCCAGCAGCCGCGGUAAUACGAAGGGGGCUAGCGUUGCUCGGAAUCACUGGGCGUAAAGGGCGCGUAGGCGGACAUUUAAGUCGGGGGUGAAAGCCCAGGGCUCAACCCUGGAAUUGCCUCCGAUACUGGGUGUCUCGAGACCGGAAGAGGUGAGUGGAACUGCGAGUGUAGAGGUGAAAUUCGUAGAUAUUCGCAAGAACACCAGUGACGAAGGCGGCUCACUGGUCCGGUUCUGACGCUGAGGCGCGAAAGCGUGGGGAGCAAACAGGAUUAGAUACCCUGGUAGUCCACGCCGUAAACGAUGGAUGCUAGCCGUUGGCAGGCUUGCCUGUCAGUGGCGCAGCUAACGCUUUAAGCAUCCCGCCUGGGGAGUACGGCCGCAAGGUUAAAACUUAAAGGAAUUGACGGGGUCAUAGCUGUUUCCU